ACGAACGCGAUUCGGAUUAAUUUUGUCAGGCACACGUGCGCACGCGUCGAAACGCUGCUCUUGGGCCGCCGUGGGGACGGCUGCUUGGCCGCGGUGCUGACCCCGGUCUGAUUCAACCAGGACGUGUUCGUGGGGCUGACGCUGAUGGCCCGCCGUCGGCGCGCUAAUCUCGCCGUAACCCCGGUCUGAUUCAACCAGCACGAUCUCGUGGGAGGGGAGAUGGCGAGCAGGUUCUGGAGGUAGUACGCGGACCGGCAGUUCCACAAGUGGGAGAAGACGGUGCUGUGGGACACGGGGGAGCCGUACCGCCCGCCCUGCUCCUUCGCGCCGCUCGUCGGCACGUACGUGGCCGCCUUCUGCACCGCCGUCGUCGUUGCUUUCACCGAGCAGUUCUACAAGGCCAGGGCGCCUCGGCUCGACACCACAACCCCUCCUGCCCCUGUCUGCGCAGGCUUCGUGCGCGAGGUGCUCGACGAAAUGCCUAGGCAUGUGCGCAGUAUUGUUCCAAUAGAAUAAUUCAGCUCCUGGCGUUAUUUGAGUUCUUUAGUGACUAGAUUCCACUGAUCAUCUCAUCUAGUUGAUGACAUCAACACAGUGCUCGUUUCCUUCAAAUUAUAUGAAGUGUCAAAUUGUGGCCAAAAACAUGGAUUCGUUUGAGCUGGUUAUGGAGAAGUAUUGGAUUUGGGAGGACCACCUAGGCGAGGCCAUGCCCAUCAUGUCACCCAGGAUCUAAUUGGCCCAUAGAGGAUGGUGAACCAAGGGUUCCCUGCUUUAUCCAGAUGCCUGAUGAAGCCAAGCCGGCAUAGAAGGUCUUGAGGUUUGCACACAAAUUCUCUUAGUUGAUGCUCCAGUCCAUAGCACUCGUUUUCUUGAUCGAAUGGCUCUUGGAAUUUACUACUGCUGUGUAGUUAUUACUACUCUUAUCUCUGCAAUUUGUAGUCUGGUAGUUGUGAAAUGUCUCUUUCCAUCGAAUAAUUGAUUGCUAAUUCGAUCUUUAGAACAAGCUUAUUUGAGUUUUUAUUGGUCAGAAUGACAUAACAAAAAGAGUUUCCAUGUGCACGAAAAUGCAAAGGGUUUGCCAUGUGUGCGGUAGCACAAACAGUUUCAUACUGAUCUCGGAUAUACAUUCGUGGAGAUUGGGAUACGAUGUCUUAAGAAACGUUGGAAAUGCAUUGUUUAAAUCCACGAACUACUUUGCUACAAGAUCUGUUUUGCAAUCCUAUGACGUUAUUUUUUUUACUUUGAAAAUGUUUCUUUUAUGGCUUCUUUGAAGACACUUUAGUAUUUUUAAAGACCAUGAGCUCUGGCAUUCACUAAAGGAGGUGGCACCAUUGUCAGUUCUAGGAGGUGCUUUGGUAGAGCUUAAACAGAGUCCACAUCACCAAACCAAUUGUUUAUUGCCAACACCAAAUAAUCUUUUCCCACGCAAACUAUAGUUAUAAUAACCAGCAAUCAAGCAUUAUGCAUAAUGAAAUGCUUGAUUUCAAAAAGUGUGGCAUGAACGUUGCCCGUCCACAUGGCAAAAAGCUGCUACGAGCUUGUAUGAAUUACAAUGGGUUUCUUCGAAAAUUGAAGCGAUAAAAAUAACAGUUCAUCUCUUCCAUGCUAAAGGAUUUCAUUUGCAUAUUUCCGGUGAAUUAGGUGCAAACUCAUGAAAACAUGGUUUUAUGGCACUGUAUCUAUUUGAUGGUAUUAAAUUUAUGCCAAAUUCAUUUGAAUUUUGGAGUUGGUCAAAAAAAUUAUGUUGGAUUCUUUUAUUAUCAAUAUGAUAUGUCUAUGUUUGCCCUAUCUUGUAGGACUAUAUGUAGUACUGGUUCUCGAGUUCACAAGAGAGAUGCUAUGCUUCUCCAAAUACAGUGAUAACAGUAUUGUGGUUUUGCAUUGUCUUUAUUAUAAAAAAUUACAGUCUUCCAAGAAUUUCUGCAUAUAGUUGUUUAUAAGCGUGGCCGACUUGUGGUGAGCUUCGGGACCAUCGGUGGAGUUGACAGAGUGUUGGGACGAAUGAGGAAUAACCCAUAUUAAACAAUGUACCUGGGAUACCAAUUACAUAUUAAACAAUGUACCUGGGAUUCUGAUCUUGCAGCUGUAAGUGACAUCCAGCAUACCACUAUUUUUCUGAAAUUUUCCGGCAAUACUCUAUUUUAGUACUACCUGUUUUUGUAAUGAAAAUCUAUAGCCGCUGACUAGGGGUAUUUGAUAACAAAUACUGGCUGAAGUGGUGUUCGACUGGCUUUGAUGUUUCAGCUGUAUCACCUUAAUUUUUACUUAUAUUUGUCCAUCUUAGGUUACAAACAACGAUAGUUCUGAAGCUUACGCACUUAAACAUGAUAGUGUGGCUCGCCGUGCAUUGAAAAAUACAUGUCUCGGUGUCUUCAAAGUUGCGAUCCAAUAUUGGAAUUAUGUCCCGCACAAUGUAUCUUAAUAUAUUUUCUAGUGAUGUUGCAGUUUAUCUUAAA